ensembl:lncRNA
GUGAAAUGGAUACCUCCAAGAGCUGACCAGUUCUCCAAUUCACAGAUGAGGCCAAAGCACAGGGAGCGGUCAGUGCUGGGAUCUGUUGUAACACUUCUUACCCAAUUCCAGUGCUGAGGGCGAUGCAGCCCAGGAGUUGGAUCGCAUGUGUAGAAAUCUUCAGCACCGUCUCCAGAGGCGAUUUCCAAGGAAUCAGAAGCUGAAUUCAUCAGACGUUUGCUGAGGGAUUUGGGAAAAAGAAAACAACCAACACAAAACAACCAUAAACAAAGCCCAGCAGCCCAGCCAACAAACAAAAGCAACUUCAGGAAGAAAGUGGCAGAAUCCCUAAGGUGCCAUUUAGGAAAAAUUGGAGGAAAUCAGAGACCAGCACUCAUACUGCCAGCACCGCCCCCCUCCCAGCACAGUGUGUGCCAUCCUCAUCCUCUCCCCAUCUUCUCCUGGUAAAAUAUCUCCUUUCCCAUACUGCAGCAGCCACCUGUCCACUGCUAGGGGCAGCUCUUCCCUUUGGCCCUUUCCCACCCUGAAACCACACUACAGCCAUGCUGAGCUCUGAAAGCACACAGCUGGCAGGGAGCCCCAGGGUGGCAGCACCCUGCAGGUACACAAUACAUUGCUGCAGGCCCUGGCAGGGUGCCUGGCUCCCCACCCAGACUGGCUCAUCUGGCUGCUGCCGUGGGAGCCCCACACUGAGCUGCGGCCAGGUGCUGCUGUGGGAGUUCCUGGCCGGGAAGGUAGAGUGCAUUUCAGCCUGGCUGCUGAGGGGUGAUGCUGCAUGGGGAGCCACGUAGGGCUGCAGCCUUCAGGGUGGGGGUGUCCCCGGCUGCUGCGGGAGGAGCGGCCCAGGGAGCCCCGAGCGCUGCCCCGGCAGAGGGCAGUGGUGCCCCGACCGUAACGCUCCACAGCCGUACAGAACGCGUGCAAAGGAACUGGGCAUGCACGACAGGGACGGGGCAGCAACCUAUUUCUUUCCUUUUAGUUAAAAGAAAAGAAGGGGAAGAGAAAAAAAAAAAAAGAAAGAAAAAAAGGCCUCUGUCUGCACGGAAGCCCCUCAUCUCCAGCUGCAGGCUGUAGGAAUAGGCAAUGUAGGCAUCUCCCUCGCAUGCCGCCACAGUUGGUAGCAGCCCAGGUGCCUGCAGUAAGUGCUAAGCAUGCCAGGAGGUACCCACCC